rnacentral:rRNA from 1 species
AUGGCAAUAGUUCAACGAUGGGGUAAACUGGAUUAUUUUAUCACGAUGACAUGCAAUCCCUACUGGGAGGAGAUAACUAUUGAAUUGUUGCCUGGACAGCUGCCACAAGACCGUCCAGACCUUGUGGCAAGAGUAUACAGAGCUAAACAAUGAUCCAUGAUGGACUUACUGAUUAAGGGUAAGCAUUUUGGAGAAGUUGCGGCUUAUGUAAAUGUCACUGAGUUUCAGAAACGAGGCCUCCCUCAUGAGCAUAUACUUCUAAUCAUGAAAGCAAAAAGUAAGUUAAGGACCCCGGAUGACUAUGAUCGGGUGAUAUCGGCAGAGAUACCCGCCAAAAAUAAAUAUCCUAUUCUCCAUGAUCUGGUGGUCAAACACAUGUUGCAUGGUCCAUGUGGCGCGCUCAAGAAAAGUUGCCCUUGCAUGAUAGAUGGACAAUGUCGGUUUCAUUACCCGCGAGAUUUCUGUGAUGCUACAUUACAAGGGAAAGACUCAUAUCCCAUCUAUAGGAGGGAUGAUGGGGUGAGAGUUAGGAUCAGAGGAGCAGAUUUGGACAAUAGAUGGGUGGUCCCUUACAACCCCUUUCUGCUGAUGACAUACAACUGUCACAUAAAUGUCGAAGCAUGCUCGAACAUAGGCAGUGAAGUACUUAUUCAAGUACAUCUACAAAGGGCAUGA